AUAGCAAUAGCUAAUUGCACCAAGACAUAUUUGAUGCAAUAUCGACUUAGACGAAUAAAAUUCUAGGUAGUGUUAUGAUAAUGACAUUUUCUGCCUAUUAGUCUUGACCAAAUUACGUGCCAGCAGUCGCGGUAAUACGUAGAAGACUAGUGUUAUUCAUCUUUAAUAGGUCCAAAGGGUACCUAGACGGUAAAUCAAGCCUUAAACGGGACUAAUUUACUAGAGUUACUUAUGAGGGGGCACUAAAGUACUGAUGGUGGAGAGAUGAAAUUCUUAGAUACCUUUUUUCGAAAGAAAAACAAUGGCACAGGUAUAGGCGAAAGCAUCCCCUUAUGUGAUAACUGACGUUGAGGGACGAAGGCUUUGAGUAGCGAACAGGAUUAGAUACCCUGAUAGUUGAAGCAGUAAAUGAUGAA
rnacentral:rRNA from 1 species